rnacentral:rRNA from 2 species
GAUAACAUAAGGGAAAAUAAUGAUAUUACCUUAUUAUUAGUGUCGUCCAAAUCUGGUGCCAGAAGACUCGGUAAGGCCAGAGACACAAACGUUAAUCGUCUUAAUCAGGCGUAAAGGGUUUGUAGGCGGCUUUAAAAUUUAGUUAUAAAAAAAUAAAUAAUAAGUAAAGAAUAAAAGCUAGAAUCAAAUAGAGGAUAUAUUAAAGAAUGCUUAGAGUAGGUCUGAUAUCUGUAGAUACUAAGUAGAAUAUUAAAGGCGAAAGCUUUUUUCCAUUAAUGAUUGACGCUCAGAAACGAAGGUGAGGAUAGGAAAUAGGAUUAGAUACCCAAAUACCCCUCUCUGUCAACGAUGAAUGGUAGUUUAUUAAUAAAUUAUUAAUGACAAUGUUAACACGAUAACCAUUCCGCCUUGUGAGUACAACUGCAAAGUUGAAAACAAAAAAAUUAGUCGGUUUCGGAGCAAACGAAGUGAAGCAUGUUAUUUAA